GAUGAACGCUGGCGGCGUGCCUAAUACAUGCAAGUCGAGCGAAUGGAUUGAGAGCUUGCUCUUAUGAAGUUAGCGGCGGACGGGUGAGUAACACGUGGGUAACCUGCCCAUAAGACUGGGAUAACUCCGGGAAACCGGGGCUAAUACCGGAUAACAUUUUGAACCGCAUGGUUCGAAAUUGAAAGGCGGCUUCGGCUGUCACUUAUGGAUGGACCCGCGUCGCAUUAGCUAGUUGGUGAGGUAACGGCUCACCAUGGCAACGAUGCGUAGCCGACCUGAGAGGGUGAUCGGCCACACUGGGACUGAGACACGGCCCAGACUCCUACGGGAGGCAGCAGUAGGGAAUCUUCCGCAAUGGACGAAAGUCUGACGGAGCAACGCCGCGAGAGUGAUGAAGGCUUUCGGGUCGUAAAACUCUGUUGUUAGGGAAGAACAAGUGCUAGUUGAAUAAGCUGGCACCUUGACGGUACCUAACCAGAAAGCCACGGCUAACUACGUGCCAGCCGCCGCGGUAA
rnacentral:rRNA from 1 species